AGACUGGAUAGGAAACAAAAAGGCAUCUUUUUGUUUUUAAAAGACCUUCUUACGAAGGUAUGCUUAAAGAGGGGCUUGCGCCACAUUAGUUAGUUGGUAGAGUAAAAGCCUACCAAGACGAUGAUGUGUAGCUGGACUGAGAGGUUGAACAGCCACAUUGGGACUGAGACACGGCCCAAACUCCUACGGGAGGCAGCAGUAGGGAAUUUUCGGCAAUGGAGGAAACUCUGACCGAGCAACGCCGCGUGAACGAUGAAGUAUUUCGGUAUGUAAAGUUCUUUUAUUGAAGAAGAAAAAGUAGUGGAAAAACUAUAUUGACGUUAUUCAAUGAAUAAGCCCCGGCUAACUAUGUGCCAGCAGCCGCGGUAAGACAUAGGGGGCGAGCGUUAUCCGGAAUUAUUGGGCGUAAAGGGUGCGUAGGCUGUUAGAUAAGUCUAUAAUUUAAUUUCAGUGCUUAACGCUGUCUUGUUAUAGAAACUGUCUUGACUAGAGUGAGAUAGAGGCAAGCGGAAUUCCAUGUGUAGCGGUAAAAUGUGUAAAUAUAUGGAGGAACACCAGAAGCGUAGGCGGCUUGCUGGGUCUUUACUGACGCUGAGGCACGAAAGCGUGGGUAGCAAACAGGAUUAGAUACCCUGGUAGUCCACGCCGUAAACGAUGAGUACUAAGUGUCGGGGUAAAACUCGGUACUGAAGUUAACACAUUAAGUACUCCGCCUGAGUAGUACGUACGCAAGUAUGAAACUUAAAGGAAUUGACGGGACUCCGCACAAGCGGUGGAUCAUGUUGUUUAAUUCGAAGAUACACGAAAAAUCUUACCAGGUCUUGACAUACUCUGCAAAGCUAUAGAAAUAUAGUGGAGGUUAUCAGGGAUACAGGUGGUGCAUGGUUGUCGUCAGUUCGUGUCGUGAGAUGUUAGGUUAAGUCCUAAAACGAACGCAACCCUUGUCGUUAAUUGCCAGCACAUAAUGGUGGGGACUUUAACGAGACUGCCAAUUAAACAUUGGAGGAAGGUGAGGAUUACGUCAAAUCAUCAUGCCCCUUAUGAUCUGGGCUACAAACGUGAUACAAUGGCUGUGACAAAGAGUAGCUGAAACGCGAGUUUUUAGCCAAUCUCAAAAAAGCAGUCUCAGUUCGGAUUGAAGUCUGUAACUCGACUUCAUGAAGUUGGAAUCGCUAGUAAUCGCGAAUCAGCAUGUCGCGGUGAAUACGUUCUCGGGGUUUGUACACACCGCCCGUCAAACCACGAAAGUUAGCAAUGCCCGAAAGCAGUAGCUUAACUUCGCAAGAAGAGGGAACUGUCU
rnacentral:rRNA from 3 species